AGUCACAAGUCUGAGGCCAUAGCAGAAGCAUUCAUGGCAUGGCCUGUCAGAGUCCAAUGGAUCUGUGAAUUCUGCU
rnacentral:ribozyme from 1 species